rnacentral:ncRNA from 1 species
AAUGAAGAGGGUGUUGAAAUCAAGGAAACAUUUUAGGGCAUUCCAUAACUUUUUCCCCUUCAAGAAAUAUCACAGACAACUUUCCAUCCAAAGUCAACAAAAUUGAAACCCAUUUUUGAGAGUUGUUGGUACCUCAUCCUAUAACUGACGACAAUGUUAGGAAAUCCAGAGAUGUCGUUGGGGGCCCCGAGAAGAGUUAUCUUUUCUUUUUAACAUCUUUCACACCCUGAUAUCAGAUCAAUCGGAGAUAGGGUCCAACAACUGGAAGAGCAUCUCACGUCUUACAGUGUCUGGUGCACCCUCGAUGGCCCUUGAAAAUUUGGAGGACCAAGUACCAUCCAUGCCCGGUCGUACUCAUAACCGCAUCAGGUCUCCAAGGUGAGCAACCUCU